rnacentral:rRNA from 1 species
CUUAAAGGAAUUGACGGGUCCCGCACAAGCAGCGGAGCGUGUGGUUUAAUUCGUUGCUACACGAAGAACCUUACCUGGGUUUGACAUAGCAGUGGUAGGGAAGCGAAAGCGGACCGACCUUCGGGGAGCUGUUACAGGUGUUGCAUGGCUGUCGUCAGCUCGUGUCGUGAGAUGUUCGGUUAAGUCCGCUAACGAGCGCAACCCGCGUUGUGUGUUACAAGUGUCACACAAUACCGCCGGUAUUAAGUCGGAGGAAGGUGCGGAUGACGUCAAGUCAGCAUGACCUUUAUAUCCAGGGCUACACACACGCUACAAUGGUCGGCACAAUAGGUUGCCAAGUCGUGAGACGGAGCCAAUCCUCCAAAGCCGGCCUCAGUUCAGAUUGCAGGCUGCAACUCGCCUGCAUGAAGUUGGAGUUGCUAGUAAACGCAGGUCAGCUAUACUGCGUUGAAUACGUUCCCGGGGAUU